UCCCAGUAAAAGGAGAAGUGAAGAGCCUCAGUGACUCGUUGACACAAACUCAUGAGAACAGAGAGGAACCUGAAAUUGAAAGAGUUCAGACAGUUGUUCAGACUCCAUUUUGAGUGGAAAGAAGUCUGAGGAGACAAACUGAAGUCUGAGGAGACAAACUGAAGUCCGAGGAGACAAACUGCAGACUGAGGAGACAAACUGAAGUCUGAGGAGACAAACUGAAGUCUGAGGAGACAAACUGAAGUCUGAGGAGACAAACUGAAGUCUGAGGAGACAAACUGCAGACUGAGGAGACAAACUGCAGUCCAAGGAGACAAACUGCAGUCUGAGGAGACAAACUGAAGUCUGAGGAGACAAACUGCAGUCUGAGGAGACAAACUGAAGUCCGAGGAGACAAACUGCAGUCCAAGGAGACAAACUGCAGUCUGAGGAGACAAACUGAAGUCCGAGGAGACAAACUGCAGUCCAAGGAGACAAACUGCAGUCUGAGGAGACAAACUGAAGUCUGAGGAGACAAACUGCAGUCCAAGGAGACAAACUGCAGUCUGAGGCUGACUGACUUCAGAACAGAAGAUGAGUGUUCGUGUGGAGGAAGAGGAGGACAGAUCAGAACCUCCAGGAUCCAGCUGUGUGUCUCUGAAGAGUGACCGGUCCAAAUAUCGUCCUCCAGAAUUCAGUGAUGAACCUGGACCCUCAGACACAAAGAAGAGGAGUCAUGUCUCUGAGAAGAAGCAGCCGUCCUGCUGUGUUUGGUGUCAGGACGUCCUGAAGGAUCCGGUCUCUACCAGCUGUGGACACUGGUUCUGCAGACGCUGCAUCACCUCAGACUGGGUCCAGUCUGCUUCACCAGGAGACUCCUCCUGUCCCCAGUGUGGUGGUAAGAAUCAGACCAAGCUGGACUGUACAAAGGCAGACUGAACAUCUGACCAUGUGUUUACUUCCUGCUGCUUUUCAUGACUUUUAUUUAAACUUCCAAUAAGCUCAUUCAGCCAUGUGGACACAUAUAUUACCUGAGUGUGGACAGACGGAGAUGUAAACUGUAACUUGACUGGUUGGUGGAGGCAGAAACCACGAGGUUCUGAUUCUAGUUGACUGUCUACUGUAACUGAAGUCUCAUCAGAGCUUUGUUCCUCUGCUGUCAGUCAAACAUGAACACCGACACACAGUCAGAGGCCCAGAGACACAUUUCUGAUACUUCCUCUAAACUGGGCUUUAUAACCUUCAAUUCUUUAUAUACUCAUAU
rnacentral:lncRNA from 1 species